rnacentral:rRNA from 1 species
CGUACGCACUGGCCCAGCUGAUUGAUGGUGCUUGCACCUGAUUGACGAUGGAUCACCAGUGAGUGGCGGACGGGUGAGUAACACGUAGGUAACCUGCCCCGGAGCGGGGGAUAACAUUUGGAAACAGAUGCUAAUACCGCAUAACAACAAAAGCCACACGGCUUUUGUUUGAAAGAUGGCUUUGGCUAUCACUCUGGGAUGGACCUGCGGUGCAUUAGCUAGUUGGUAAGGUAACGGCUUACCAAGGCGAUGAUGCAUAGCCGAGUUGAGAGACUGAUCGGCCACAAUGGAACUGAGACACGGUCCAUACUCCUACGGGAGGCAGCAGUAGGGAAUCUUCCACAAUGGGCGCAAGCCUGAUGGAGCAACACCGCGUGAGUGAAGAAGGGUUUCGGCUCGUAAAGCUCUGUUGUUGGAGAAGAACGUGCGUGAGAGUAACUGUUCACGCAGUGACGGUAUCCAACCAGAAAGUCACGGCUAACUACGUGCCAGCAGCCGCGGUAAUACGUAGGUGGCAAGCGUUAUCCGGAUUUAUUGGGCGUAAAGCGAGCGCAGGCGGUUGCUUAGGUCUGAUGUGAAAGCCUUCGGCUUAACCGAAGAAGUGCAUCGGAAACCGGGCGACUUGAGCGCAGAAGAGGACAGUGGAACUCCAUGUGUAGCGGUGGAAUGCGUAGAUAUAUGGAAGAACACCAGUGGCGAAGGCGGCUGUCUGGUCUGCAACUGACGCUGAGGCUCGAAAGCAUGGGU